rnacentral:rRNA from 1 species
CGAAUGACGGGGCGGGAGCGUGGGUAAGACGGGGGGGGGGGGGGUGGGCCGGAUUUAGUGGGCGUAAAAGGCGGGUAGGUGGCGACGGCGAGGCGGCGGUGGAAUCUCCCGGCGCAACUGGGGGGGGUCAUGCGAUGCUGGCGGGCUCGAGGCCGGUAGGGGGAAGCGGAAUUCCCGGUGUAGUGGUGGAAUGCGUAGAUAUCGGGAGGAACACCAGUGGCGAAGGCGGCUUCCUGGACCGGUUCUGACACUGAGGAGCGAAAGCGUGGGGAGCGAUCCGGAUUAGAUACCCGAGUAGUC